rnacentral:piRNA from 1 species
UAAGCCUAUACAUGAAUACCUUCCUGGUGCA